CAUUGAUGAGAACAUCACAAUUUACAUUGCAGCCGAAGAAAUAUACAAUAAAGAGAAGAGAAUGGCAGACCUUGAGGCAACUUAUCUGUUAAGAAAUGGCUUAAAAUUGGUAGUGGAUUGUUGUUGUUGGUAGUGGGUUGUUGGUGGUAGUGGAUUAGUGGAUGGUUGUUGGUGUCCAUUUUCAACCACAAAUCUUUGCCAAAGUUUUGGACAAUUAUGUCCUUGAACUCUCUUAUAAAUAGAGAGGUUCAUUAGCCAUAUUCAUCAUCCCAAACCAAGAGAGAGCAAAGCUUGUUCUUUGAAAGCUAGGAUUUUAGCUUUCGGAUUUUCUAUAGGGGUUGAGAGUUGUGAGGUUCUCGGGUUGUGUCUUGAGUGUAAAACACUUGUAAUCUUCAUCUUGUUAUAGUGAAAUUUCUUUUCGCCUCUGCCCGUGGACGUAGGCAUUAAAGCCGAACCACGUAAAUCCUUGUGUUCACUUUAUUUUUCGUUUCGGUCAAUUUACUUGUAGUCAUAUCGGAGUUCUCGAAUCGAUCCUUUCCGCAACAAAUUGGUAUCAGAGCGUAGUUGAAGGAGUGAUAAUAUUUUCUGAAUUGCCCUGUGACUGCAGCUUUGUCUGAUCUUUCACAUCAGGAAGAAAAUAUUAUCAUUCAUUCAAAGGUUCCAAAUUAUGGCUACAAGUGUUUCAUCGACUAAGUAUGAUGUCGAGAAAUUUACCGGGAAAAAUAGUUUCAGUUUAUGGCGCAUCAAGAUGCGGGCAGUGCUGGUUCAACAAGGAUUGCUAAAAGCAUUGUCUGGUAAAGAUAAAUUACCAAGCACGCUUUCGGAAGAGCAAAAGGAUGACAUGCUAGAAAGAGCACAUAGUGCUAUUCUGCUAUGUCUAGGAGAUGAAGUGCUACGAGAAGUAGCGGAUGAGAAAACCGCGUCCGGUUUGUGGCUCCGGUUAGAGAGCAAGUACAUGACGAAGUCAUUGACGAACCGGCUCUACCUCAAGCAAAGACUCUAUGCCCUGAAGAUGGAGGAAGGUACACCUGUUUCCCAGCACCUGGAUAAAUUCAAUUCCAUUAUCAUGGAUUUGAAUAAUAUCGAUAACAAAAUCGAUGAUGAGGACCAAGCAAUAAUUGUUUUGUGUUCUUUGCCUCCCUCGUAUGAGAAUUUUGUUGAUACAAUGAUGUACGGUCGUGAUGACCUGACUCUAGAGGAGGUGAAAAAUGCCUUAAGUUCCAGUGAGUUGAGGAAGAAAAUCACUGGUAAGGUGGUCGAAAACAAUGAAGGCGAAGGCUUGGUUGCUCGAGGAAGAUCCAAGGCAAAGGGUGGAAGUUCAAGUAAAAGCCAUCCUAGAUCGCAGUCCAAGAAGAGAAUACAGUGCUACUACUGUAAGAAGUACGGGCACAUGAAGGUAGAUUGUCCGAAAAGGAAGGAGAAAUCAGAAUCACAGGAGCAACAAAAUGAUCGUGCGAAUGUAGCUGAUGCAGAUUCUUCAAGUGAUGCCGAGAUCGUUCUUGCAGUAUCCGACUCUUACGCUGGUGGGAGAUGGAUUCUUGAUACGGGAGCUACAUUUCAUAUAAGUACUUCGAAAGAUGCAUUCUCAACAUACGAGAAGCAUUCUGGUUCAGUACUAAUGGGAAAUGACCACGCAUGUCAAGUCAUGGGGAUUGGCACAGUUCGUAUAAAGAUGUUUGACGGUAUUGUUAGAACUCUAACUGAUGUUCGGCACAUUCCAGAAAUGAAGAAAAAUUUGAUCUCUUUGAGUACGUUGGACAAGAAAGGCUUUCGGUACUCUGCUGAAGGUGGAGUUCUCAAGGUAUUCUCGGGUGCUUUGACUGUGAUACGUGGUAAUUUGGAGCGGGGCCUUUACUUCCUCGAUGGUUCCUCGGUUACAGGUGUUGCGGGAGUGUCAUCAUCAGAUGAUCUAGAUUCUGACACCACGAAGUUAUGGCAUAUGCGGCUCGGGCAUAUGAGCGAGAGAGGCUUAUCGGUGCUAAGCAAACGAGGAUUAUUGUCUGGGCAGUGUACAGGAAAGUUGAAUUUCUGUGAGCACUGCGUCUUCGGUAAACAGACUCGGGUAAAGUUCAGCACUGGGAUUCACAAGACAAAAGGCACAGUGGAUUACUUCCAUUCUGACCUUUGGGGGCCUUCUCCGACAAUUUCUAAAGGUGGUUACAGAUAUCUGCUUACCUUUAUCGAUGAUUACUCGAGAAAGGUUUGGGUGUAUUUUCUGAAGAGCAAGUAUGAGGUUCUCAUCAACUUCAAGCAAUUUAAAGCUUUGAUCGAAAAUCAAACAGGAAAGAAGAUCAAGCGAUUCCGGACGGAUAAUGGCUUGGAGUUUUGCUCAGGUGAAUUCAAUGAGUUCUGCAAAAAUGAAGGAAUAGUGAGACACCGCACUGUUCGUCGAACACCACAACAAAAUGGAGUUGCAGAACGCAUGAAUAGAACUCUCUUGGAGCGAGCUCGUUGCAUGCGAUCAAAUGCUGGGCUCGGUGAAGAAUUUUGGGCUGAAGCUGUUAAUACUGCUUGUUAUUUGGUUAACAGAUCUCCGUCAACAGCUAUUGAGCUGAAGACUCCUGAGGAAGUAUGGUCUGGUUCUCCUGCUGAUUACUCUGGUUUAAGAGUGUUUGGCUGCCCUGCGUAUGCUCAUGUAAAUGAGGGAAAACUCAAACCGAGGGCGAAGAAAUGCAUAUUUCUUGGAUACGGCCAAGGGGUGAAAGGAUACAGGUUGUGGUGUCCUGAUCCGGUUUCGUCCAAGUUCAUCAUCAGCAGAGAUGUGACUUUUGAUGAGUCAUCCAUGCUUCGAUCCACCACAAAUUCCCGGGAAAAGGAGGAGUCAGAUAGAAUGGGAGAUCACGGUGUUGAGAAGCAGGUGGAGUGUCAGGUGGACGCUCCAAUUCCUACGGAAGGUACUUCAGUCCAGGAUGAUCAAGUUGAGGUGCAAGAUUCCGAUGAAGAUGAGUCACCUCAAGAAAAACCAUAUAGCAUUGCCACUGGAAGAACGAAGAGACAAAUCAAACCAAAUCCGCGUUACGCUAAUCUGGUGUCUUUCGCGCUCAGUGUGGCGGAGUCCAUUGGUAUAGAACCUUCCAGUUAUAAUGAGGCUGUCACGUGUGAUGAGUCGGCACAGUGGGCAAUUGCUAUGAGUGAGGAGAUAGAAUCUCUUCACAAGAACCAUACUUGGGAGUUGGUUAAGCCGCCAAGUAACCAAAAGAUAGUUGGUUGCAAAUGGGUCUUCAAGAAAAAGGAAGGCAUCCUAGGGGUUGAAGCAACUAGAUUCAAGGCACGAUUGGUUGCUAAAGGCUUCACUCAGAAAGAGGGGAUUGACUACAAUGAAGUUUUCUCCCCAGUCGUAAAGCAUUCUUCCAUUCGUGUAUUACUUGCCAUGGUGGCCAAGUCUGAUCUAGAACUUGAGCAGCUUGACGUAAAAACGGCGUUCUUGCAUGGUGAGCUCGAGGAAACAAUCUACAUGCGUCAACCAGAGGGUUUUACAGUUCCUGGUAAAGAAGACCAUGUCUGUCUAUUAAAGAAGUCUUUAUAUGGAUUGAAACAAUCCCCAAGGCAGUGGUACAAGCGGUUUGAUAGCUUCAUGAUUCAGCAUGGUUACACAAGAUGUGACUAUGAUGCUUGUGUCUAUCAUCGGAAGCUCUCAGAUGGUUCGCACAUUUAUUUGUUGCUGUAUGUUGAUGACAUGUUAAUUGCUUCCAAAAACAUGUCGGAAAUCAACAAGUUAAAGUCGCAGUUGAGUGGUGAGUUCGAGAUGAAGGAUCUGGGUGCUGCCAAGAAAAUUUUGGGCAUGGAUAUUCACAGAGAUCGCAAGGCGGGCAAGCUUCGUGUGUCGCAGAAGAACUACAUUGAAAAGGUUCUUCAACGCUUCGGCAUGGAUAAAGCGAAAACUGUGAGUACUCCGUUGGCACCACAUUUCAAACUCUCUGCAGAGUUGUCACCACAAUCUGAUGAAGAAAAGCAGCAAAUGUCUCACAUUCCAUACUCGAGUGCAGUUGGAAGCGUGAUGUAUGCAAUGGUUUGCACUCGUCCAGACAUUUCACAUGCAGUUAGUGUGGUCAGCAGAUACAUGAGUUGUCCUGGCAAGGAACACUGGCAGGCCGUGAAAUGGAUUCUCAGGUACUUGAGAGGUUCUGCAGAUUUAUGCUUGGUAUAUGAUCAGAGUGACUGCACUAGCAGUGUCACGGGCUAUGUGGACUCUGAUUAUGCUGGAGAUCUGGACAAAAGAAGAUCUCUGACGGGUUAUGUUUUCACUUAUUCUGGAGGAGCCAUUAGUUGGAAAGCUGUGUUACAGUCUACCGUAGCCUUAUCUACGACUGAGGCGGAAUAUAUGGCGUUAGCAGAAGCAGUGAAAGAAGCAUUGUGGAUGAAAGGUCUAGUAAGCAGUUUGGGUUUACAACAGGAUUUCACUGUUGUAUUUUGCGAUAGCCAGAGUGCCAUACAUCUGACUAAAAAUCAGAUGUUUCAUGAACGGACCAAACACAUUGAUGUCAGAUAUCAUUUUGUUCGGGAACAUGUUACGCAAGGUGACAUUGUUAUCAGCAAGGUUGCUACCGAGAAGAAUCCUGCAGAUAUGUUAACUAAGGUGAUUCCUGCAUAUAAGUUCAAGCAUUGCUUGGACUUGAUAGGUAUUCGGGAUUGAUUAGCGCCAGAGAGGCGUUUGGAAGAGGUGAUCCAGUUCGAGGAAUUCACUAUGAUGUUCAGCUUGGUAAAUUUCAAGCCAAGGUGGAGAUUUGUUAAGAAAUGGCUUAAAAUUGGUAGUGGAUUGUUGUUGUUGGUAGUGGGUUGUUGGUGGUAGUGGAUUAGUGGAUGGUUGUUGGUGUCCAUUUUCAACCACAAAUCUUUGCCAAAGUUUUGGACAAUUAUGUCCUUGAACUCUCUUAUAAAUAGAGAGGUUCAUUAGCCAUAUUCAUCAUCCCAAACCAAGAGAGAGCAAAGCUUGUUCUUUGAAAGCUAGGAUUUUAGCUUUCGGAUUUUCUAUAGGGGUUGAGAGUUGUGAGGUUCUCGGGUUGUGUCUUGAGUGUAAAACACUUGUAAUCUUCAUCUUGUUAUAGUGAAAUUUCUUUUCGCCUCUGCCCGUGGACGUAGGCAUUAAAGCCGAACCACGUAAAUCCUUGUGUUCACUUUAUUUUUCGUUUCGGUCAAUUUACUUGUAGUCAUAUCGGAGUUCUCGAAUCGAUCCUUUCCGCAACAUUAUCCAAAUCUGGUCAGUAGUUCAAAAAUCAAUGAAAAACAAACAUUUUUUGUACAUUGAAUUCUAAGCCAAUUUAUCAUGUUUCAUUGCUUUUCCUUAAGGCAAACAGACGAUAUUAAACCCAGAAGAGCUUGAACCUUUCAUGGAACAUGCAGAUCAGAUGGCUCCUGUCGAAACCAUCAUUUUGAAAACGGGAAUUGACUUUGUUUAAACGCGAAAAUUAAAACGGGAGUCGCCACCGAUCUUUAUUAGGUGUGAUCGGAUCACCUUUGUUUUAAUAAAACAAUUUUAAUUUACUAAAACGGCAUUUUUGGUCUACGAAAUUCAAGAGAAUAAGUUCGAGAGUCGAUUACGUGCGAGGAAGGAUUAGCACCCUCGACACGCCCAAAGAUUGGUACCGAAUUGAUUAGUUAGUGUCUUAAUGUCGA
rnacentral:lncRNA from 1 species